rnacentral:misc_RNA from 1 species
GAUGAAGAACGUAGCGAAAUGCGAUAAGUAAUGUGAAUUGCAGAAUUCAGUGAAUCAUCGAAUCUUUGAACGCACAUUGCGCCCGCCAGGAUUCUGGCGGGCAUGCCUGUUCGAGCGUCAUUUCAACCAUCAAGCCCUGCUUGCGUUGGGGUCCUGCGGCUGCCCGCAGGCCCUGAAAACCAGUGGCGGGCUCGCUAGUCACACCGAGCGCAGUAAUACAUCUCGCUUUGGGCGUGCGGCGGGUUCUUGCCGUUAAACACCCCCUUUUUACCAAGGUUGACCUCGGAUCAGGUAGGAAUACCCGCUGAACUUAAGCAUAUCAAUAAGCGGAGGA